ACGGGAGGCAGCAGUGGGGAAUAUUGCACAAUGGGCGCAAGCCUGAUGCAGCCAUGCCGCGUGUAUGAAGAAGGCCUUCGGGUUGUAAAGUACUUUCAGUCAGUGAGGAAGGCAGGUACGUUAAUAGCGUGCUUGUUUGACGUUAGCUGCAGAAGAAGCACCGGCUAACUCCGUGCCAGCAGCCGCGGUAAUACGGAGGGUGCGAGCGUUAAUCGGAAUUACUGGGCGUAAAGCGCAUGCAGGUGGUUUGUUAAGUCAGAUGUGAAAGCCCGGGGCUCAACCUCGGAAUUGCAUUUGAAACUGGCAGACUAGAGUACUGUAGAGGGGGUAGAAUUUCAGGUGUAGCGGUGAAAAUGCGUAGAGAUCUGAAGGAAUACCGGUGGCGAAGGCGGCCCCCUGGACAGAUACUGACACUCAGAUGCGAAAGCGUGGGGAGCAAACAGGAUUAGAUACCCUGGUAG
rnacentral:rRNA from 1 species